CACAUAAACAAAUUACGCUGUAAACAAAAGCAAGCGUAGCGCACAGGCGGACAGGCAGGCGGGCGAACAGUUUAACAGCCAAACAAAUUUUUUGACAAGCAACUGACAGAAAUUGACAAGCGCACGAGCAAUGGGCCGUCAAAUGUAUGGGGAGCAGCAAAUGGAGCGGCGGAGGGGCAAGACUAGCAGCGGAGCAGAGCAGACCAGUCUUAGAGCAUAGACAGAACUGUACAGUAAUGUGAAAGAUGAUUCCAGCUGUGAAAAGGUCAACAUAGAGACCCAGGCAUUUAGCCAGACAUGCUGUGUGGCUGCCCGUCUGCCCGGUCUGCCCUGUCUGCAUGCUGUCUAUCUGUCGUGUGUCGUGCAGAGCUAUUGCUGUCAUGUUACUUGCCUCACUUUCCAAUGGCUAAAAGAAAAGAAAAGUGCAGCCUGAGAACCGAUCAGGCCAUUUCUCCCAGCCAUCAAACAAGGGUCGUGCUGAAGACGAGCUAAUAUUGACAAAUUAAAUGCAGUCUAAUGUGUGUUUAAUGUGUGCGUCCAGUUGAUUGUUGAUCGGCUUCAUUUCUCUAAGCGGAAGCCUCCCGCCGAGAAGCCCCCAGGUCCGUCUAUACAUAUAUAUAAAACAUGUGUACACAGCGAUGUCAGCUUCAAAAGUUGAAACCUAUCGAUCUGUGGCUGAGACUUGGGGCUAGCUCUGAGUUGAAGAGCUUAACAAAUAUAUAAAUCUCGUUAGCUGCUUGUGAAAUGUACAAUUGUUGAACAAAAAAACACA